rnacentral:sRNA from 1 species
UUAGAUUUGUCUAUGUUUAUUCACACAGAUAUUUUUGUUGUAGUUUCCUUUAAAGGAAUAAGCAGCUAGUAAAGAUGGGUUUUAUUUAUGGUAGUGAAUAAAUAUAUUUAAACAUUUAAAAUUUGGUUUCUAAAUUUCUAUGUCUUAUUCUAAUCACUGAUUUGUAAUGUUAUUUAUUGUUUCUUUUUUCCUACUUAGGUGAAAUCUAUUCUUGAAAGAAGUAAAGAGGAGCUGUCCCGAACAGUGAAGUGUCGUAAUGCGGCCCUGAAAGAGAGUCAGAAGUUGAAAGAAGACCUCGAGGCUGUGGAGGACAGGGAAAACAAGAAGGUGGGAAACUUUCAGCGACAACUGGCAGAAGCUAAAGAAGACAACUGCAAAGUCACAAUUAUGUUGGAGAAUGUGCUGGCUUCUCACAGUAAGAUGCAAGGUGCUCUGGAGAAAGUACAAAUAGAGCUUGGGCGGAGGGAUUCAGAGAUUGCAGGCCUCAAGAAAGAAAGGUACCUGUGGUUUUUUUUUUCCUGUCAUUGGUAUUGCUGCAUUGUACUAAGGAGCAGUGUCAAGUCAAUAAAUGAAGUCACUUUAUGUAGCUUCCUUUACAAAAAAAAAA